GUUAUUUAAGGGCGCAUGGUGGAUGCCUUGGCAUACUGGGCCGAUGAAGGACGUGUAAGGCUGCGUUAAGCCUCGGGGAGUUGUCAAUUGAGCGUUGAUCCGAGGAUGUCCGAAUGGGGAAACCCGCCUGCCGUUAUGGGUAGGUACCUGCUGAUGAAUUCAUAGUCAGUGUGGGGGUUAUACGUGGGGAAGUGAAACAUCUUAGUACCUGCAGGAGGAGAAAAUAAUAAUGAUUCUGCUAGUAGCGGCGAGCGAACGUGGAUGAGGCUAAACCGUGUGUAUGUGAUACUUGGUAGGGGUUGUGCAUGCGGUGUUGUGGGGCCAUGAUUUUCUGUUUCUACCAGAACAGAGCGCGCUAUGUGUUGUUAGGUGAAGUGGGUUGGAAUGCCCGGCCGUAGAAGGUGAGAGCCCUGUAGGUGAAGAUAGCAUGUGGUGUGUGUUGUGGUGCCCGAGUAGCAGCGGGCUCGUGGAAUCUGCUGUGAAUCUGCCGGGACCACCCGGUAAGCCUAAAUACUCAGUGUGACCGAUAGUGUAUGAGUACCGUGAGGGAAUGGUGAAAAGUACCCCGGGAGGGGAGUGAAAUAGUUCCUGAAACCAUGUGUCUACAAUCCGUCAGAGCACCGUUUGUGUGUGAUGGCGUGCCUUUUGAAGAAUGAGCCUGCGAGUCAGCGGCAUGUCGCGAGGUUAACCCGUGUGGGGUAGCCGUAGGGAAACCGAAUCCUAACUAGGGUGUCGAGUGGCAUGUUCUGGACCCGAAGCGGGGUGAUCUACCCAUGGCCAGUGUGAAGCGAUGGUAAGACGUCGUGGAGGCGCGAACCCACGUAGGUUGAAAACUGCGGGGAUGAGUUGUGGGUAGGGGUGAAAGGCCAAUCAAACUCCGUGAUAGCUGGUUCUCCCCGAAAUGCAUUUAGGUGCAGCGUCGUAGUAGCCUGGUGGAGGUAGAGCUACUGGUUGGUUGAGCGGGACUAUCAUCUUAGCAACAUCAGCCAAACUCCGAAUGCCGCCAGUUGUGUUCUACGGCAGUGAGACUGUGGGGGAUAAGCUUCAUAGUCGAGAGGGAAACAGCCCAGAUCGCCGGUUAAGGCCCCUAAGGGUGUGCUAAGUGGAAAAGGAUGUAAGAUCGCGAAGACAGCCAGGAGGUUGGCUUAGAAGCAGCCAUCCUUGAAAGAGUGCGUAAUAGCUCACUGGUCGAGUGGUUUUGCGCCGACAAUGUAGUGGGGCUCAAGCACACCGCCGAAGCCGCGGCAAAUAUUUUUGAUAUUUGGGUAGGGGAGCGUCGUGCAUGGGUUGAAGCAAUACUGUAAGGAGUUGUGGACUGUGUGCGAGUGAGAAUGCAGGCAUGAGUAACGAAUUGGACAGUGAGAAUCUGUCCCGCCGGAUGACUAAGGGUUCCUGGGUCAAGUUCGUCUUCCCAGGGUGAGUCGGGACCUAAGGCGAGGCCGACAGGCGUAGUCGAUGGACAACCAGUUGAUAUUCUGGUACCCGUAUAUGCGCGCCCGUGGUAAAGCAUUGAUACUAACCACCCACAAGCAUGGUACUUGCGCCUUCGGGCAAUGGUGUUGUGUGCGUGCGUGGGGCCUGAUAUGUGGUCCAAGCGAUGGGGUGACACAGUGAGGUAGCCAUGCCACUUAUUGGAUUGUUGGUGUAAGCGUGUAGGCCAAGUGAUAGGUAAAUCCGUCGCUUAUAUAGGCUAAGGCGUGAUGCGGAGCCUUUUUGGUGAAGUUGGUGAUCCUGUACUGUCGAGAAAAGCCUCUAGCGAUGUGUGUAUAUGGCCCGUACCCCAAACCGACACAGGUAGUCAGGUUGAAAAUACUAAGGCGUUCGGGAUAACUGUGGUUAAGGAAUUCGGCAAAAUGCCCCCGUAACUUCGGAAGAAGGGGGACCAUGCUACGUGAGAUCAUUUACUGGUGGAGCGUGGGGUGGUCGCAGAGAAUAGAGGGAAGCGACUGUUUAUCAAAAACACAGGUCCAUGCGAAGACGUUAAGUUGAGGUAUAUGGACUGACGCCUGCCCGGUGCUGGAAGGUUAAGAGGACCGGUUAGAA
rnacentral:rRNA from 1 species